rnacentral:tmRNA from 1 species
GGGGCAGUCACGGAUUCGAUUGCCGGUGAGUGGAAGGGUAAGCACGCCGAGGAACGAGUGACCUCGAUAAAACAUUCGGCUUAAAUUUAAAUGCAGAUAACAAUGCAACCCGCGCGAACGCUCAGUUCGCGUACGCCGCUUAAUUAACAGUUAAACGGUUCGUCCGCUCCCCUUUUCCCGUCGGGGGGAUGCGGGCGUCAAAAAAGGCGGGGUACAGCCGCGGCGGACCGGAGCCGACGCAGCGGCGGUUUUCAGGCUUCUGCCGGGCGCUUUUUUCGGCCGCAGAGAGGGCGCCCCUAAGAUAAUUGCGGCAUAAGCGUGUAGAAAGCCUUUCGGCGAUCCGGUAAGACGCGAGUUCAACUCUCGCCUGCUCCACCA